rnacentral:sRNA from 1 species
AAUAGACUGCAGCGAAAGUAAUAGUUCACUUUCACUGCAGUCCGAAGCGUGCGGAACGAAAAAUCGCGCGCUUUUUAUAUAUCUUCCAG